rnacentral:rRNA from 1 species
UACGAAGGGGGCUAGCGUUGCUCGGAAUCACUGGGCGUAAAGCGCACGUAGGCGGUUUCUUAAGUCAGGGGUGAAAUCCUGGAGCUCAACUCCAGAACUGCCUUUGAUACUGGCGACCUUGAGUCCGGGAGAGGUGAGUGGAACUGCGAGUGUAGAGGUGAAAUUCGUAGAUAUUCGCAAGAACACCAGUGGCGAAGGCGGCUCACUGGCCCGGUACUGACGCUGAGGUGCGAAAGCGUGGGGAGCAAACAGG